CAGCAAGGCUCAGGCUGGGCCUUGGAUGAUCGGCAGCUGUGAGCGCAGCGGGGCCUGGCGUCUGCCCACAGAUGUGGCUGGUGUGCCUAGCCGACGCUGCUCUGGAUUCUGUGACAAUCUGCAGCUUAUCUUUCAAAGCCUAUCUCCCCACCCAUUUCUACACCUCAGCAGUCAGCCUGCACAGUGGGGACGCAGCAGGAUCAGGAUGUUUAACUCCUCUAUAUGCCAGCAAGGUUUGGUGAGAAAGACCUCCAAAUACAUAGUGAUCAACUCUGCUCUGAUCGAAAUCUGGUAAUAGGACUGAGUCCCUGCCCUGGGCCAGGCAUUUUGCCAGGGAAGGAGGUGAGUGCAGGCGUGGAAAGAUCGCACCAGACACCUGCCCUAUGGACCUUGCAGCCUCUGGCAACAGAUCAGACAGUCAUCAAAGAAUGAGCCCACAGACAUGGGGCAACUGCAUCUUUCACAACUGCCAAAAGAGGCUGUAAUGAUUGGGUCUGGUAGGGAGGCCAGGGAAGGCUUCCUGGAGGAAGUGACACGUAAAUGUAUGAAGACAGAAAGUCCAUAUCCCGCCAUAAAUAAAACACCAGCAUCUCUUGACACCACAGAAGUUAAACUAUAAAUACAACAGAGGCAGGACAGGGUGACCA